ensembl:lncRNA
GAUGAGGCUACUGAGGCCCAGAGUCUGGAGUGAAGGGCUCUGGGUGUAGGGCCUGGAGGCCACUCACUGCCCCUCCCUGGCAGCAGCUCUCCCGCUCAAGAGAGGGGAAGUGACCCAGUGAGGAUUCCACAGCAAGAGCGAGCACAGGCGGGUGCCCAGCCUCCUGGAUCAUGCCGCUCCUGAAUCCCGCACACCAGCACCAACCAGCCAGGCAUGUUUCCAGGGAGGAACAGCCCCGGACAACACCCCGAAUACAGCAAGUGCUGGCGCCCCAGACGGAAGCAGAGAGGCAAGGCCCUCUGAGGAGGUCCCCAGCCAGCCACAGGGAGCCGAGAGGCGGGAGGGCCGGCCGGGCCUCGUGCUCUUGGGUCUCAGCCAGGCCUUGGUCCCCACCCCAGCCAGGCCUCUAGCCAGAGUUUCUCCCAGGGCCGGUACUGGGCGGCCUCCAGAGCCUCAGCCCGCCCUGGACCUCCCCGCCUCCCUGAGGCUCAUCUACUCAAGGGGGAUCCCUGCCCCGGAGAAACCGGGAACUUCUGACCCUCCUUGGGAGUGUUUUAAAAAAUCCUUCAAAACUACCCUCUCUCUUCCUGUCCCCCAGGGCACCCAGAGAAAAGCCGCCCUCCUGAGAAGUUCCCAGCCUGGCUUAUUUGGUUGAAUUUUUUCAGAAACAGACAUGAGGUUCCGUGGGCAUCCCCCCUCUACACACAC